GGAGGAUUAGCUCAGCUGGGAGAGCAUCUGCCUUACAAGCAGGAGGUCACAGGUUCGAUCCCUGUAUCCUCCACUA
rnacentral:tRNA from 1 species